rnacentral:lncRNA from 1 species
AUGACUUCGCAUGAACUGCCAGUGUACAUGGACGAGGAUGACGACCGGUCCUGCUUCCAAAGCCACAGGGGCGCUCCGGCCGAGGAGGGGUCGGAUGAAGAAAUUAUUCCAAUCAUGUAUAGGAAUUUACCUGAAUAUAAAGAACUAUUACAAUUUAAAAAGUUAAAGAAGCAGAAACUUCAGCAAAUGCAAGCUGAAAGUGGAUUUGUACAGCAUGUGGGCUUCAAGUGUGGUAACUGUGGCGUGGAACCUAUCCAGGGUGUUCGGCGGCACUGCCAGGAUUGUCCCCCAGAGAUGUCUUUGGAUUUCUGCGAUUCUUGUUCGGACUGCCUACCUGAAACAGAUAUUCACAAGGAAGAUCACCAAUUAGAGCCUAUUUAUAGGUCAGAGACAUUUUUAGACAGAGACUACUGCGUGUCCCAGGGCACCAGUUAUAAUUACCUGGACCCAAACUACUUUCCAGCAAAUAGAUGACAUGGUAGAGUGAGCGCAUCCCUCACGAGUCCUCUUCGACACAUAGCAAUGGUGUCAUUGUUGGUGAUGUGCACAGUUUGGAAAGGUCCUCUGCUUUCCCUGAAUGACACUCACAGCAUGAGCGCUUCCCGAGUGUUCUCGUCCAGCCCAACUCUGCACUGUGUGGCUCUCGAUCCCUGUUCAGCAGCCAAGCAUCCUGGUGAGCAGAGGGUUUCCUGGUGAAUCUCCUUGCUGCCUUGAAGCCCGGAGAUGGCGAUCUUAGUGGGUGAGAUGGUGAGAGAGCACAUAUUCACGUGAGAGUAAAUCCCAAAGGUUUCAGAGAACUUGGUCACAAAUACGAUAACAAGAAGGCAAAGUAUUUAUAUUCAAACACUUUAGUAGCUUUCAGUUUUGUGAAAAUAGUUUUCAGCACAGAAACUGACUUCUUUAGACAAAAUUUUAACCAAUGAUGGUGUUUGCUUCUAGGAACUAUACUCUAAAAGAACUCACUGUCCAGUGCUGGUCAUUGAUGGCCUUUAGUAAAUUGGAGCUGCUUAACCAUAUUGAUACCUAAUUUCUUUUAAUUUAUUCCUAAUUUCCACAAUGAACUGUCCUUGUUAUCAACAGCAAAGCACUACAGGAGGCAACUGUGGCAUUGCUUCUUAACCAGCUCAUGGUAUGUGAAUGUUAUAAAAUUGUCACUCAGAUAUAUUUAUAAAUGUAAUGUUCUAUAAGAUGAUCAUGUGAUGUGUACAAACUAUGGUGAAAAGCGCCAGUGGUAGUAACUGUGUAAAGUCUCUAAUUCACAACAUUAUUAUUAUUAUUAUUAUUAAUUCCUUUAAAAUACACAAACUUCUGCCUCUGUAUUUGGAGUUAUCCAUAAAACUCAUCAAAGAAAACUGCCUAAUAUAAAAAUCAUAUAUAAUGGUAAUAAUUUCCCUCUUUUGUAGUCUGAACAAGAUCCAUAAAAGAUUGCAUUUUUAUUACUAUUUAAACAAGUGAUUAAAUUUAGUCUGCGCAGUGAGCAAGAGUUCACAUGCAUUCUUUUAUACUGCUGGAUUUUGUUGUGCAUCAUUUAAAACAUUUUGUAUGUUUCUUCUUAUCUGUGUAUACAGUAUGUUUUUGAAUAAUGUUCCUUUGUCAGGAGAACUGUGAGAAAUAAACUAUGUGGAUACUGUUUAUAUUAUUUAAAAAACCAAUAAAACAAAAUAAAAAUAAAAAAUAAAAAACUAAAAUAAAAAUAAUUUUCAGAAUAUACAUAAUGAGCUGAAACUACACAAAA